GCCGAGAUGGCGGAAUCGGUAGACGCGCUGCGUUCAGGGCGCAGUGAGCGCAAGCUCGUGUGGGUUCAAGUCCCAUUCUCGGCACCA
rnacentral:tRNA from 1 species